rnacentral:lncRNA from 1 species
GUGACAGCUUUGCGAGUAGCUCCAGGUCCCCUGCUGCUCCGUGAGAAAUCAAACUUCUGGCAAUGACGAAGCAUGAAGCCAGCAUCUCAGGGAGAGGUAGUGACAUAAUUACACGAUAAGACAAGCCGCCUGGUCUCGCUGUCACUUGGCAGGCAAGAGAGGUGAGAAAACUGACACUUGGAGAGGUAGAGUAGCUUUAUUUACUUCACACAAGCUUUUGAUGAAUUUCAAGUCUCAACCUAGAAGUCUUCCUCUAAGGGAAAUUAAUGUUAUGACUGGAUAAGACAAUUGUGAAGAAACUGCACUUCGAGGUUGUCUGUCUCCGUAUUCCGAUGGAAAAGGCUGGACUUUAGAAGCAUUGCUCGCUCCUUCAGUUUCUAACAAGCCAGUUCUUGGAGAUACUAGGAAGCCAAGAGUUUCCUCCAGGAAUGGAGAUUCCUUGGAAGUGAGGUUCACCUUGAGUCAAGAAAGACGAAUCACACACGGUCAAAGGCAAUUGCCCAGGGUCUCAAGAACAGAGCCAGAAAGAA